CGGGACGGGUGGAAGUAAGUGUCGUAGGGAAAUGCCGAUGGAGGGGGAUAACUACUGGAAACGGUAGCUAAUACCGCAUAACGUCGCAAGACCAAAGAGGGGGACCUUCGGGCCUCUUGCCAUCGGAUGUGCCCAGAUGGGAUUAGCUAGUAGGUGGGGUAACGGCUCACCUAGGCGACGAUCCCUAGCUGGUCUGAGAGGAUGACCAGCCACACUGGAACUGAGACACGGUCCAG
rnacentral:rRNA from 1 species